rnacentral:rRNA from 1 species
GGCUCCCUGGAAUCAAAGAUGGGGAGUCGGACCUGCUCGGUGAAUAUAUUUUAACAGCCGCGGUACUCUGACCGUGCAAAGGUAGCAUAAUCAUUUGCCUUAUAAUUGAAGGCUAGUAUGAAUGGUUUGACGAGAAUUAAGCUGUCUCUUUUCAAUUAAAUAUAAUUUUAUAUGCAGGUGAAGAAGCCUGCAUUCUAUUGAAAGACAAGAAGACCCUAUCGAGCUUUAAAGAAUUUAUAAGACCUACUGAGUAUUUAUAAAUAAAUAGGACUAAUAAAAACUUUGGUUGGGGCGACUGAGGAACAAAUAAAGCUUCCUUUAGACUAUAAAAACUUACUGGUACUGAUCCAAUAUAUUUGAUUAAAGGAAUUAGUUACCGUAGGGAUAACAGCAUAAUCCUCUUUGAGAGUUCUUAUCGAAAAGGGGGUUUGUGACCUCGAUGUUGGACCAGAAUACCCAGAAGAUGCAGCCGUCUUCAAUGGUUGGUCUGUUCGACCAUUAAAAUUCUACG